rnacentral:rRNA from 1 species
UACGGGGGGAGCAAGCGUUGUUCGGAUUUACUGGGCGUAAAGGGCGCGUAGGCGGCCACCGCAAGUCAGUUGUGAAAUCUCUGGGCUUAACCCAGAAAGGUCAACUGAUACUGCGGGGCUAGAGUGCAGAAGGGGCAACUGGAAUUCUCGGUGUAGCGGUGAAAUGCGCAGAUAUCAGGAGGAACACCGAUGGCGAAGGCAGGUCUCUGGGCAUUAACUGACGCUGAGGAGCGAAAGCAUGGGGAGCGAACAGG